ACAGGAAAUAAUGGCCACACAGACCUGAAGAUAAUUGUCACAUUACUCUUCAGAUCUGACCAGACUUUUCAGUGGAAGUGGUUUAGAGACUUAUGGCCAAGAGGACCCAUUUGGUGCAAUUCUGGAAUGACGCAAAGCACUGAAGAUUGUGUCAAGACACCAGAAGGAACAACAAUAUGAUUUUGCUGGAUUUUCUCCAGAAAUAUAUCAUGCAGGUGGCUCAGAUCUUCACUGGUCUGAUGAAAGCAUGCCUGUUUGUGACAG